GCCAGACACACACGUGGUACACAGAAAUACAUGUAAGCGAAAUGCCCAUAAACAUUAAAAAAGAAAAGAAAAAACCUUUAAAAAAAAAGCCUUAACAAAUAUGUAGUUUUGACAUCCCCACAUCAAACUAUUGGGUAGUGGAAAAUGAAAAGUGAUUUGAGAACAUAAUGCAGUGUGCAGUUCACAUCGAGCAGCCCCGGGGACUUUUGUCUCCCCUAAGUGGCCGUAAAGAGUGUCUUGCUGGAAAUGCUCAAAGUUUGCACUGCAUUCUCGAGUAUCAGACAGAAUGGGAGCCCACAGAGCCUUUCAGUUCCCGUUCCACCCUCCCAAGCAUCCUCCAGAAACAAGGUUAGCGUAAUCAGGAAGUCUGAAAAAUGCACAGAUGGCCCUUCCUGCUAUGUUAAGUGGGAAAGAAAGGAAGGCCCACUCGCCAGCUCCAGGCCCACUCGCCAGCUCCGGCUCUGUUUGUUAAUCACGAGCCAGUGAGCCCAGUGAUGCCCCUGCAGCGCAGGUGGGCAGGCACUAGGAGGAAGGGGCCAAUUCUCCAGGACCCGUAGUUCUCUCAGGGAUGAGCCGGUGUGGACAAUUCAGGACUCAGAAGUUUACCUGGUUUAACCCUUGCCCCAGCCUUAACCCCCACGAGGUCAUGGUCAGAGAAGGCUGCAGGCUUUUUUUUUUUUUUUUUUUAAUGAUUUAUUUAUUUUGGACUUGGUGAUUGUUCACCACAGCAAAUAUGUGGAGGUCAGAGGACACCUGCAGGAGUCUGUCCUCUCCUGGCAUGUGGGCUUCAGGGACUGAACUCACACCCCUAGGCCUAUCAGCAAGUGCCUAUGCCUGUUGAGCCUCUUUAGCACAACAUUUAGAAAAGCAGACAAAGCUCAAUGGUAUUUAGGGUGGUAUCGGAACUGUCCUGACUUUAAAACAGCUGACCUAGGUAAAUCAUUUUAAGAUGGUUGUGUUAAAACAUGGUGGCACCUUUUCCCUGCUCCUGAAAACAAGGUGGACUCUGCUUGCACUGCCUGUGCCACUCUCUCUCUCUCUCUCUCUCUCUCUCUCUCUCUCUCUCUCUCUCUCUCUCUCUCCCUCCACCCUCCCUUCUUGCUACUGGCUUGGAGCACAAUGAUGCUUACUAGUGCCUGCGAGCUGUCUCCAGAGGCUCACUAUGGGUCCAGCAAAUAACGCCAGCCCAGCAUCCAGACGUGCCUCUAGACAGUUAUUAAGUGUACAUAAGAUUGAGGCAGCUAGACUUGAGACUUGGUGGAAGGAGAAAGAGAAGUAGGAUGGAAGGAGGGGUGGGGAGAAGGCAGAAGGACAAGGCAGGGAUCAAAAAAGCAACAAACUAGUUGGGUGUGGUGACAUGACCAGGAUGUGAUGGAACACAUCUGUGAUCUCAGUACUUGGGAGGCAGAGGCAGGAAGAUCAGGAAUCCAAGGUUAUCCUCAGCUACUUAGACGUCGGCCUGAGCUACAUAAAACCCUGUCCAAAAGGAAAAAAAAAAAAAAAGACUAACAAAAGAAAAUAUUCUUGUUGCCAGCGGUACCUGCUUGUAACCCCAGCAUUUGGGAGGUAGAGGCAGGAAGGAAAGCAAACAUUCCAAACCAGCAACAAAUAACAACAACAACAACAACAACAACACACACACACACACACACACACACACAAACACCCUCUAGCGUUCAUUUGACCAUAGGGGAGGGGGAGAGAGAGAGGGGGGGAGAAACAAGAACUUGUGGCUCCAAGGACAGAGACCAGUGAGUGAUCGUGGGGAAAAGCAGGUCCCUAGAAAGAAAAAAGAUGCUUGUCCCCUUUGUAAACUUGGCUUAAGUGUGCAGAGGAGGGAGCCUCCAGGGUGACCCCAAUCACACGCCUAUGGUUUGCACAUGGGGCACAAGACAGAUGUGACAUCACUGGUGCACACUAAGCAAUCAACACUUAAGAGUGUGAUAUGCUUCUCUUGGUUUAGUGAAUGGUGCCUAGGUCAUUUUGGCCGUAAACACUUUCUACAGACACUGAAACCACAACAACGAGCACUACUGCAUUUUCAAACUCAGUAGAACCAGCAGUGAAUGUGAAUCUCGACGAGCUGAUAGCUGAGGCGCCCUCCCUUCCACGUUCAGAGCGCAGUAGUAUUUCAGCCAGAUCCUUUCCUUCCUACGGCCAUCAGCUGCCAUAAUAAUUAUAUUAUGCUAAACAUUAGGAUCAUCUAAGGAAUCAGGGUCUCCCACUUGCCUCUCCCAACUCUACAGGGUCCAGCCAACCCCAAGGCUCAACAUUUGUUUAUUGGAGGAUGCUCUUUUUAUUGAAUGUGUUCCAUCGGUAUUCAGCCUUCACCUCACACGUCUUAUUUGACAUCAUUCUUUUGGGGGGCUCUCUAGCCAGAUCCAAUGGGUACCCAUAUAAAAUACCACUUACAGCUAAUCUCCAGGCCCAGACACAUCAGUGUGCUUUUAUCGUAGGCUGUGCUCAUUUAAUUAUUAACAAGGCUUUCCAAUAAUGAUGAAAAAAAUUUCAGAUAGAAGAGGUUAAGCCACUUUACUGGAAAUGCUCAAGGCUAACUGUGUAGCAACUUCUCAGAGGCAAUUGUUUUGUAGAGGCGCAAGGGAGGGGCUGGGGAUGAACAAGGAUUCACUCCGGCUCUGCCACCUGGCUGCUUAACUUCUCGAAGCCUGUCUCGUGUUCUGUCUCAAAAUCGGGAUGAUGCAUUCAUCACCCUGCAGAGGGCAUUCUGAGGAUCAGAGGUAUAGGUGAAGACUCCGGUCAGAUGAAGCCACACCCGGAGUAUCACUGAAAGAUGGAACACGGUGAACAUUUGAGACGUCACUGGGAGACCCCCAUCUUGGAAGUCUAGGUUAUGAUAUUUUUCACACCGCUGCUCAUCACAAACCUCUGAACUCUUCAAGUCUCCUUUUCUUCGGGCCCCUUGCCUGAAGAAACUCAUACUAGACCUGCCAGAAGACGCCUAUAGUCUUCCCUCAUCUGCUUCCUCCCGAGGCUCCUGCACAGCUCUGCUUGGGAAACCCUUUUUAAUACAUUCCCCGGCUCCUUAGAGGCGUUCUGAAUCCCCAAACCAUCAUCUGAAACUGUUCCUGAAAAUCCGUUGUCGAGCGCUCCUGAGCUCUUCAUCGGAUUCCUAGUUAAAGAAGCCACAGAGGAGUAAGCUGGGGCUUCCGAGUUGGUGAGUUGAGCUGAAGACCAGCUUGGGAAUUGUCCCUUUAGGUCCCUUUAGACACCACAAAGAGAGAGAGGAGGAGGAUAGUGACGCACCUGAAUAGGUCCGCUAGAGUAAGGAAAUAAACUAGGACUUGACGUGGAUUGAGUAGGAGGGCAACACUCACACACACACACAGAGGGGGGCACACACACACUCACACACGGAUGACAGACAGCAGAACAGAGAGGCAGGCAGCACCAGCUGUCUGACAACCGCCAAGCUCGGAUUCGGACACCGUCUCUAAGCGGGUACCGCAGUGCCCUCCCUGACACCUCCGCAGGUUAC
rnacentral:lncRNA from 1 species